GAAAACACAGCCCAGAUAGUACUCGUUGAAAAAGAGAUGCUCGUAAAAAAAUUUAGAAGACUAUAAACAGCACUCCUCCUUAAGAUGGAACUUCAUCUUUAUGACUGCAGUGUGCACCUUGAAUUUGAAACAAUUUCAGUCCACAAAUUUUCCUUUAGAGAAGGAAAGCCAAAUUACACAUCUGUGUACAAAAACUGGAAAAAGUGGCUGUAGAGUCUUGUUAGCUUCCAAUUCAAGAGUCAGAAAGAACAGGAGAGGUGCCCUGGAUGUCCAGUUGGAGACAGCUAAAAUAAAAGAGCAGAGAUGAUUAUGAUUAUCCUGGAGAAGAAAAGUGAUUAGUUUUUCAAGUAUCAUUAAAGAGAAACUAAGUUUCACCAUGUAACAGAGAGUGUGUGUUUCCUAAUCUACCUGGGAAAAAUCUGGGUCCAAAGCCUCUUUCUUAUAGAGCUGCUCGAUUUGGGAAAAAGACAAAAGUCAACUAUAAGGUGGGCUUUGCUUGUGCCCUUAAUGGAAAACAACUUAAAGAGCCUGUGGGCUGCCAUUAGCCUAGAGAUCCUUGUGAGGCUCUCUCUACCUCAUUCUAAGCCCAGCAUCCCCAGUAGGACACAGCAUCCUUGUAAUUCACAAAACCGAGCAGGAAAUGAUGUCGCCUCCUCACAAGAAACUGCAUAACCGGGGAGGAGAGAGAGAUAUGUUGUCUGUACUGCAGAAACUUUGUUAAUGUUUGCAAGGGAAUAAAAUAUUACAAGUCAGCAUUUUCUCUUAUCUUGUCCUCCAAACGCAGUUCCUACCAGAGCUCACAAACACGUGCCUCAUUGUCCUGGGUUUUCUUUAUUCUCCUGAUGCAAGGUCAGCUCUUGGAAGCAACACUACCCCAGUUUUUGAGUAUUUCAUUUUUAGGAAGGAAAUAAUUAACACUGACUGGGCACCUACUCAGGUCCAGAAACAAUGUUACUCCACUUUACAAACGUGGAAAGAAACUGAGGCUUUUUGGAGGAAAGUCAGUGUUCUUAGGUCUGUUGUUCACUCACUAAGUCCUGUCUGACUCUUUUGCAACCCCAUGGACUACAGCCCACCAGGUUCCUCUGUCGAUGGGAUUUCCCAGGCAAGAAUACAUGGAGUGGGUUGCCAUUUCUGUAAAUGCUCUUACUCUAUUUGGAGACACUUGGAUGAAUCAUGAGAGUGAUUGUUAUGUGGACAGCUAGCAGCUCAAGAAAAUGUGAUGGAAAACUUAACCAUCUUUUCCUUUAGCAUCUGCUUUCGUCUGGUGCCGUCAGCCAGAUAAUGACAUCUUUGUUUACU
rnacentral:lncRNA from 1 species